rnacentral:rRNA from 1 species
UCGCCCGCCGCGCGCGGCGGGCGGGGCGGGGGCACGGGGGACUCCUUCGGGAGGCAGCAGUGGGGAAUAUUGGACAAUGGGCGCAAGCCUGAUCCAGCAAUGCCGCGUGUGUGAAGAAGGCCUUCGGGUUGUAAAGCACUUUUAUCAGGAGCGAAAUGCCAUGGGCUAAUACCCCGUGGAGCUGACGGUACCUGAGGAAUAAGCACCGGCUAACUUCGUGCCAGCAGCCGCGGUAAU